rnacentral:rRNA from 1 species
AACGUAGGACGCAAGCGUUAUCCGGAGUUACUGGGCGUAAAGCGCGGGCAGGCGGCUAACCAAGUCUGAUGUGAAAUCUCCUCGCUCAACGGGGAGAGGCCAUUGGAAACUGGUGAGCUGGAGGGCAGUAGAGGUAGGCGGAAUUCCGGGUGGAGUGGUGAAAUGCGUAGAGAUCCGGAGGAACACCAGAGGCGAAGGCGGCCUACUGGGCUGCACCUGACGCUGAGCCGCGAAAGCCAGGGGAGCGAACGGG